rnacentral:rRNA from 1 species
UGCCAGCAGCCGCGGUAAUACGGAGGGUGCAAGCGUUGUUCGGAAUUAUUGGGCGUAAAGCGCGUGUAGGCGGCGAGAUAAGUCGGAUGUGAAAGCCCGGGGCCCAACCCCGGAAUUGCACUCGAUACUGUCCCGCUAGAGUCCCGGAGAGGAAGGCAGAAUUCCCGGUGUAGAGGUGAAAUUCGUAGAUAUCGGGAGGAAUACCAGUGGCGAAGGCGGCCUUCUGGACGGUGACUGACGCUGAGACGCGAAAGCGUGGGGAGCAAACAGGAUUAGAUA